rnacentral:rRNA from 1 species
CCUACGGGAGGCAGCAGUGGGGAAUAUUGCACAAUGGGCGCAAGCCUGAUGCAGCCAUGCCGCGUGUAUGAAGAAGGCCUUCGGGUUGUAAAGUACUUUCAGUGGGGAGGAAGGCGACGGAGUUAAUAGCUUCGUCGAUUGACGUUACCCGCAGAAGAAGCACCGGCUAACUCCGUGCCAGCAGCCGCGGUAAU